GUGUGUUUUUAUACAUAUAAAAAUGGGCGGUGAUGGCUCAGUGGAUAUAACACAUGCCUGUGGUGUGGGAAAUCUGGGUUCAGUUCCCACUGUGAUACAUCAACCAAU